UUUUUCUAACAUGGAUGGAUAGAUGUUAAUACUGCAGUAAUAUAAUCCACAGCCACACUAGUGGUGGCGCAAUUAUAAUCGCCUCGUGUUGCGGGGAGGUUUCGUGUCAGCAGUGAGUGCCAGUGUCUGAUCUAACUAAAAUACAGUUCAGGCAGGAAACUCAAAGAAAACAGAUACUUCUGACCAUUUAAAUCUUUAUUAUGUGGAUGUUCUGUGUGUAUUGUAGCUCGCAUACCUACACCCGGUGGGAGUUGGCUGUUCGUAGAUGUGUCAUUGGUGCUUUUGUCAUCGUUUCAGUCAUCUGGCUCGGCUACUUAAAAUGCUUCAUCAGAUCUCUCUGCUCUCCCUCAGGGAACUUUCACGUGGGAACAGACCUGGAAUCUCGUCAUGGUCAGACAGAGUUCUUUUCCCCUUCAGACACGUCCCCCGGAUAGUCGCAGAGAAACCCCACUUCAGACAACCGAGCCACAGUUUCAGACGAAUCGUCUCAGAGGUUGCUAAGAUGGGAAAUGCAGUUUUACAAACGGUGAUCAGCAACAGCCACUGAGUGAAACAGAGGGAGGAGAAUGUGCAGGAACAUGAACACGUCCCAUCCGGUGGCACGAUUCCUGCGACUCCGUCGUGAUCAGUUUGGUCUUCAAAGGACGAGAGGCAGAAGCCUUAGUCACCAUAGUCAUCCGUAAUUUCAACACCCUUCUGUGCAACUGGAUCCCAGACUUCCUGAGUGAGACCCAUGAUGAUCCACUUGGGCAACCUCUCCAACAUUAGCAGUGAUGUCCCCUAAGGCUGCGUGCUCAGCCCACUUCUACUCAUCCAGCUGACUCAUGACUUUGCUGCAAAGGACAACUGAAAUGCUGUCAGUGUUAAGGGGUGACAACUGUGAAACUCAACAGUGACGACUUGGCGAAAGUCUCAGAAGUGUCAUGAUUCUUGUCCGCUUCCUACUGGGAACAGAAGUAGCAAGGUGAAAAGAACAGCAUUUCUCCAGUCUCCGUCUCCAUGGCUUUGAAAAGAGGAUGACAGAGAUGAGAUGACAAAACAAUUGCAUGUGUCAAGCAUCUAUCAGUUACAUUUAGCUUCAAAAAAUGAAUAAAUUACUGUAACUCUGACCAGAAACAUUGAACUUUUAUUUAAAAUUUAAAUUUCAAGUGCCAGACAAAUUCACUUAACUUUUUGUGCAGUGCAAUGAUUAAUAUCCAUUUUCUCUUGAUAUCAUUUGCUUUUAUUUUGAUUUAUUUUACUUUUAUAUAAUGUUUUCUAUAACGUUAUUUCACAUCGUGAUAUGCAGCGUACUGAAUAUGAUGGUGUGACAAUAAAGCUGUACCUGACUUGCUUGCAUUCUUGGGUUGGAAUACUCCAUAAUUAUAACUGAUAAUGCACCAAGAUGGCGCACGAGGUGAUUGCGCCCCUAGUGGUCUGGCACCCUUGACAAAUGCCAGGUUUGUCCCGGUCACACGCCAACUCCGCUACAAUCAAUAUUUAGCUAAAUCAGCCUGUGAAUGCUUCAAGGAGAAAGAUGGAGACAGUGGUGGGACCAAGCAGCCUUCUCAACACUUUUUUUGGUCUUAUUAUCUUAUGAAAAAUUCAUCAAAUGCAAAUGUGCUUUCUUGAAUCUAAGGAAACAGAUCCCCAGCCGAGAGAGAAGGCCAUUUUUGUUACCAUGGGUUUAUAGAUUGUUGGAUGAUAGAUCGUAGUUAUGUACUGACGAAAGCGCAGAGGAGACGGAAGGGAGCGGCUGGGAUUAACUUUAUAUAAUAUUUGUGGGCCACUGAAGUGAAAGAUGCGAUCCCAACCUUCAUCAUAAAACAGAAGAAGUUAGUAACUGAUCUUAUUUGGUGGGGAGCACAGGCAGGUCAGCCAAUGAGACGCAAGAAUUUCCGAAAGCAUUUAGCUUGAUGACUAUACCUUUAAGGACAGUGCAUACUGUAGCAGCCUGCUGUGUAAUGUAUGCAAAAAAGUUAAAUAGAAAUCAAAGAAAAAUGUAAAACAUAAAUGCAUAUUGCUUGGCAUUAAAAAAACACGUUUCAAAUAAAACACAAUAUGUUUUCUGUUUUUGUUUAAAAGUAUUCUGCAGCAUUUGUCACAUUUUGAUGCUAUUCUACUUUUUUUCCCUCGCUUGAAUUCGAUUCAGAGCUGACUCAGUGAAGGCCUGAAAAUAGAAGCUUGCGGCAUUACUGCUGAUCUGUAUAAAUGAUAAUCGUCUUACGGAGUGUUACUAGGGAUGACAGGGAAUGGGAGAGACCGUAGGUGUGAAUGUAUUCUCUACUUAAUGAAGGUAAACAAAUGCAUCAGACUUAAUAGGGUUCAGGGCCAGGUUACAGAGGCGGUAUAAAAUGAUCUUGUUUUUCCCAAAUAGCAGCUACAGAUCAGUGUGACUGGUGAAUUGCUUCCUGUUUGCAACCAGGACUGCACUGGGUAUGACAGAAUGUAUAGGGGGACACUGAGGAUGAAAAGCCCAAGACCAUAUUGGUGGAAGUUUCCCUGUCUAACAAGCACGGUGCUGGUGGCCCUCAGCUCCCCUGGUGUUGGGACCAGGAGUCCGAGGGUAUUAACAUUAGGCUUUUCCUAGAUCCCAGGACAGUUCAGCCAUCUAUUCCAUCAACCAUGUACUAUUUAUAAAUAAAAAGUUGGCUUUGUUGACAAACUUUUCACCUG